GACGUAGGGCGCGAGCGUUGUCCGGAUUUAUUGGGCGUAAAGAGCUCGUAGGCGGCCUGUUGCGUCCGCUGUGAAAGCCCGGGGCUUAACCCCGGGUCUGCAGUGGAUACGGGCAGGCUAGAGGUAGGUAGGGGAGAAUGGAAUUCCCGGUGGUAGCGGUGAAAUGACGCAGAUAUCGGGAGGAACACCGGUGGCGAAGGCGGUUCUCUGGGCCUUACCUGACGCUGAGGAGCGAAAGCGUGGGGAGCGAACAGG
rnacentral:rRNA from 1 species